rnacentral:rRNA from 1 species
CAACGUGGGUAAUCUUCCCUUUUGGCGGGGGGAUAACCUUCCGAAAGGAGGGCUAAUACCGCAUAAGACCACGACUCCGAAAGGAGACGAGGUUAAAGCAGGCCUCUAUACAUAAGCUUGCUCCAAAGGAUGAGCCCGCGGCCCAUCAGCUAGUUGGUAGGGUAACGGCCUACCAAGGCUAAGACGGGUAGCUGGUCUGAGAGGAUGAUCAGCCACACUGGAACUGAGACACGGUCCAG